GAUGAACGCUGGCGGCGUGCCUAAUACAUGCAAGUCGAGCGAACGGACGAGAAGCUUGCUUCUCUGAUGUUAGCGGCGGACGGGUGAGUAACACGUGGAUAACCUACCUAUAAGACUGGGAUAACUUCGGGAAACCGGAGCUAAUACCGGAUGAUAUUUUGAACCGCAUGGUUCAAAAGUGAAAGACGGUCUUGCUGUCACUUAUAGAUGGAUCCGCGCUGCAUUAGCUAGUUGGUAAGGUAACGGCUUACCAAGGCAACGAUGCAUAGCCGACCUGAGAGGGUGAACGGCCACACUGGAACUGAGACACGGUCCAGACUCCUACGGGAGGCAGCAGUAGGGAAUCUUCCGGAAUGGGCGAAAGCCUGACGGAGCAACGCCGCGUGAGUGAUGAAGGUCUUCGGAUCGUAAAACUCUGUUAUUAGGGAAGAACAUAUGUGUAAGUAACUGUGCACAUCUUGACGGUACCUAAUCAGAAAGCCACGGCUAACUACGUG
rnacentral:rRNA from 1 species